AGAAGAAGGGAAAAAAGAUAGAAAAAAAAUGGGAUAAUAGAAGAAUAAACACAAGUACGGAAAAAAAUAAAAGGAUCAAUGACUAGUGGAUACUAGAAAAAAUGGAAAUUAGCUAGUUCUUUGAAUAAUACAAAUGAAAAUUACAGCUGAACCUGUCGCAAACAAAUUUCUGAAAAAAAUUACAUAUUACCAGCAAAAAUCACUUAUGUGAAAACAGUAAAUAUCAAGCUCGUUUUCCAGUUCUAGGUGAAGACUUUGGGGCGAGUUCCCAUCGGCCCUUUGCACGUCUUCGCUUAAUAACAGCUCUGCCACUGGUGGUGCUCAUACGCUUACGAAAACCAUGAGUCCGAGCCAAUGACUUCCUUGAUCUAUUCCUCUUAGUUUGACAAAGAGCAUACUUCUUUGCCCUCACCACCAGCCCGCGCCUUUUUGUGGUGCUCACUCCAAUGUUGGAAUUGAAACCAAAUCCAAGUGAUGAACCUAAGACAGAAGUACUUUUUUGCCCUCACCGCCAGCCCACGCCUUUUUGUGGUGGUCACUCCAAUGUUGGAAUUGAAACCAAAUCCAAGUGAUGAACCUAAGCCAGAAGUUAACUAUUAAGUUUGCGCCACUCCCAAUGCCAAUUUAAUACAAAAUUUUGGCCAGAACUACUUUCAUAAGACUCGCAUUUGUGACUAAAGCAAACGCUACAAAUUGGAAAAGAUUUACACACUAACGGCUAUUAAAAGGGCAAAGUGACUAGAGUGCUGCAUGCUGCACAGGUUUCUCAUAAGAUCGACCAUAAGGAUAUUAAAGGACGAAAAUAAUGACACAUAUUUAGCUGAUUAGAUCACAAGAUAAAAGUUCAAGAAACUUGAGUGGAAAAUGGUUUCGUUCCAUACCUACAACAACAACUACUACCCAGUAUAGUCCCACAAAGUAGGGUCUGGGGAGGGUAAUA
rnacentral:lncRNA from 1 species